rnacentral:misc_RNA from 1 species
UCAUUAACUAUUGUGGGAAAAGACGUAAAACAUCUUUUGACCAUUAAAAUCAUCCAUAAUGUGGGUCAAACCACAUGCGCAAUGUAUUAUAAGGUGUUAUUUAGUUAGCAUCUUUUUAUUUGUAAUAUGGCCUUAAAAAAGCCACAUUACUAAUUUUUUUAUACUAAAUUAACUGAAAAACGAUUGACCAUAAUUUUAUGGUUGUUUAAACAAUAUAUUAACUUAUAUAAAAACAACUUUCAGCAAUGGAUCUCUCGGCUUUCGUAUCGAUGAAGAACGCAGCAAAUCGCGAUAUUUAAUGUGAUCUGCCUAUAGUGAAUCAUCAAAUCUUUGAACGCAUCUUGCACCCUAUGGUAUUCCGUAGGGUACAUCUGUUUCACUACCAUUCAAACAUCUCCCUCACUCCUUUUUUUUCAAAGAUAGACCGAGAUCUAACACAGACUAUAAAUGAUUGUGGGAGAGCAGUUUACCGACUCACCAUACUAAGGGACAGUUCGCCCCUUUUUUUUUCCCCCGCGCAGGUGUUUCCGCGGUAAAACACAGGG